CUACGGGAGGCUGCAGUGGGGAAUAUUGCACAAUGGGCGCAAGCCUGAUGCAGCCAUGCCGCGUGUAUGAAGAAGGCCUUCGGGUUGUAAAGUACUUUCAGCGGGGAGGAAGGGAGUAAAGUUAAUACCUUUGCUCAUUGACGUUACCCGCAGAAGAAGCACCGGCUAACUCCGUGCCAGCAGCCGCGGUAAUACGGAGGGUGCAAGCGUUAAUCGGAAUUACUGGGCGUAAAGCGCACGCAGGCGGUUUGUUAAGUCAGGUGUGAAAUCCCCGGGCUCAACCUGGGAACUGCAUCUGAUAAUGGCAAGCUUGAGUCUCGUAGAGGGGGGUAGAAUUCCAGGUGUAGCGGUGAAAUGCGUAGAGAUCUGGAGGAAUACCGGUGGCGAAGGCGGCCCCCUGGACGAAGACUGACGCUCAGGUGCGAAAGCGUGGGGAGCAAACAGGAUUAGAUACCCGUGUAGUC
rnacentral:rRNA from 1 species